rnacentral:rRNA from 1 species
UACGUAGGUGACCAGCGUUGUCCGGAUUUACUGGGCGUAAAGAGCGCGCAGGCGGUCGGUCAAGUCGAGUGUGAAAGCCCCCGGCUCAACUGGGGAGGGUCACUCGAUACUGAUCGACUGGAAGGCAGGAGAGGGAAGCGGAAUUCCCGGUGUAGUGGUGAAAUGCGUAGAUAUCGGGAGGAACACCAGUGGCGAAGGCGGCUUCCUGGCCUGUUCUUGACGCUGAGGCGCGAAAGCUAGGGGAGCAAACGGG